rnacentral:lncRNA from 1 species
UGAAUCACAGACUGAGUGUUUGGCUUAACUCUCCCUUGGCAGCAAGGCAUCUCAAAAGACAGAAGAUUCCCAGAGAGUAGGAAGCCAGUGGAGAAAAUCAACUGGGGAACUCUUUUAACUGCCUAGCCUUCAGCUCGCUCAGCCCCUUCAUCCCACCCCUGCCUUUUACCUCAUCCCUCUGUAGAGAUUGAAAGCUACUAUGGGCACAAGAACCGCUUUCUCAGCGCAUGGAAACCACAACCGAGUUAGCAAGGUCCUGAAGCGAACCGGCAGGCAUGGACAAGCUCCUGAGGAAUGACCCUGCUGCUUCACUGGGAGACUUAUUUGGAGUCUUUGCCCUG